GAUGAACGCUAGCGGCAGGCUUAAUACAUGCAAGUCGUGGGGCAGCAUGAGUGUAGCAAUACAUUUGAUGGCGACCGGCAAACGGGUGCGGAACACGUACACAACCUUCCUUCAAGUGGGGAAUAGCCCAGGGAAACUUGGAUUAAUACCCCGUAAUAUUAUGGAGUGGCAUCACUUUAUAAUUAUAGCUCCGGCGCUUGAUGAUGGGUGUGCGCCUGAUUAGGUAGUUGGCGGGGUAACGGCCCACCAAGCCUUCGAUCAGUAACUGGUGUGAGAGCACGACCAGUCACACGGGCACUGAGACACGGGCCCGACUCCUACGGGAGGCAGCAGUAAGGAAUAUUGGUCAAUGGACGCAAGUCUGAACCAGCCAUGCCGCGUGAAGGAUGAAGGUCCUCU
rnacentral:rRNA from 1 species